GACGAACGCUGGCGGCGUGCCUAAUACAUGCAAGUAGAACGCUGAAGGAGGAGCUUGCUUCUCCGGAUGAGUUGCGAACGGGUGAGUAACGCGUAGGUAACCUGCCUGGUAGCGGGGGAUAACUAUUGGAAACGAUAGCUAAUACCGCAUAACAGUAGAUGUUGCAUGACAUUUGCUUAAAAGGUGCAAUUGCAUCACUACCAGAUGGACCUGCGUUGUAUUAGCUAGUUGGUGAGGUAACGGCUCACCAAGGCGACGAUACAUAGCCGACCUGAGAGGGUGAUCGGCCGCACUGGGACUGAGACACGGCCCAGACGCCUACGGGAGGCAGCAGUAGGGAAUCUUCGGCAAUGGACGGAAGUCUGACCGAGCAACGCCGCGUGAGUGAAGAAGGGUUUCGGAUCGUAAAGCUCUGUUGUAAGAGAAGAACGAGUGUGAGAGUGGAAAGUUCACACUGUGACGGUAUCUUACCAGAAAGGGACGGCUAACUACGUG
rnacentral:rRNA from 1 species